GUUGGCGAGAGUGUAGGUAUUCCUUUCUCUUGGUUUCACAUCAAACCCUCAGAAAAAGGAUGUCAUCACUCCCCCUCUGCUGCUUCUGAUAGCAGCAGUACCAACGCCAGGUCCUGCCUGGUCGGCAAGAAACCCAAUCAAGCUUCCUGCACUCUUUCUUUCUCCCCUUCUUAAAAGCUGGCUCUGAUCAGACUUGUGGGAUAGGGUCUGCGGUUUUGUUGCAGUAGUGGGUAUGGAAGAGGAUGUGGUGCUCUGGGCCAAGUAGGGUCCAGCAGCUGGUGCUUAUCAGCUGCACCCUGUGAUACACACAGAUGUGUCCACACUGACCUUCCUGGCUGAGGACGUGUGGGAACUCAGAGCUUCCCAUGGGAAUGGAUGACAGAACAAGGAAGCGAGAAGGUUGAUGUAGGUGUGAUGGCAUCCUGCCAACUGUCCCUGAGUACAGAGCCCCAGCACCUCUGCUAAUCAGCAAGGGAGAUUUGCCUUUGAAACCUGGAAUCACGUGGGCAGCACAAAUGUAUAAUGUAAGUGGCCACCGUUUGCUCAGGGAUGCUCUAGGUCCUCCCUGGAGGACACCAUUUUCAUGUUCAGGGUACUACCCAGACCCCAAGCCCACCUUUUAUGUUUGGAUAGUCAACUAGUUUUUUCUCUUACCUUUUCCAUCCCCUGUCCACUUCCUUUCCCACUCCAAGAGGAAAGGGUGAAAAUUCGUGGGCGUUCAAUAAAUAUUAGUUGAAGAAAUAAAUAAAAGAAUAAACAGACGAAUGAACUUUUCACAUUUUUUGAAAAAAAAAUUGAGCUUGGUUUUCAUCUGCUUUGAUGGAUAAAUAGCUUCAGUUCUGGGAAACUACAUGGGCUGACCAUAUAAAAACCAUCACUUCACUUUUGUUUAUAUCUCUCCUGCAUCUCCACCUUCCACCAGCAAGGAAUCCUCUAUGUAUUUGUACUCAAUUUUUUAUUCUCCCUCAUAUGAGCUACAGGAAAAGCCUGGCUUUGCUCUCAAUGGUUUCCUACCAGCAGUGCCCCUAAAGGAUAAAGAAGCUUUCCUCCCAAUUAUCCUAGUACUUUCAUCCCGAAAAGAGAUCUAUUUCUAUCCCCUUAUUCCAGAGCAGAAUUAGAACUGAGAGCUGGCUUAGCUACUUUAUUUUCUAGAAGAGGCAACUGAACUCCAGGGAGGGGACAAGAUCCAUCCAGAGCCACACAACUAGUGAGAGGCGACUCUGAGUUUCCUGAGUUUGGAUCCAGUUCUUUCUCCUUUCAUACCACGGUGUAGCCCAUUGAUCAACUUGCCAUCACCCUCGACUCCGAGGCAAUGGUGCAGCCACUUUCCUGUGACUAGAAGCAGCCUAAAGGGCCCCUAAGAGUUCAGUCUGGCAGCCCUGCCUCUAACGGGGGCCUGGGGGAGGAUGGACCACAUUGGAUUCCAGUGUCCAGUUCCACACCAGCCCCAAAGUUACUGACCUGAUUUUCCAGAAUCCCAUUUUUUCUGUCUGCCUUACCCAGCCCAAGCGGCAAUGGAGAGGAUUUUGCUCAAACUUUCCAAAAUAACUUCCCUUUGGGCUGAGACCAAGCAAAUGUAGCUUCACGCCAAAGGAAUAUUGGGAAGGUUAUGAGCCACUAAAAAUAGAUGGUUACAACAGAAACUCCCUCCUGUUUCUGCCAUUAUCCCUGUUGGCUACACAAAUACAGAGGCAGACUCCAACCACGAAGGGGAGAGAAAAGCGGUAUGUGAUCCAAGCUGCGGUGUAAUCAGAUGGGAAACAAGUUGAAGAAAGAACAGUGCCAUUUUAGGAACAGGUCUGGCCCAAAUAUCACACCUAGACAGUAGGAGACCCACUGGUGCAUCCUCUGGCCCUGACCUCCUCCUCCCACAGCCAAAGAAGGGCAGAGGCAGGAGUAAUGUGGGACUAACCCACAGCGGGAGUUGCGAACCCACCGUAGGCCUUUGCUCCUUUGCAGGCGCUCAUCUCUUGAGAAAUGGAAGCCAGGUUUGAUCAUGGUGUAGGUUCAAGAACAUUCCAGAACAACUCCAGCAGGGCAAAUGGCUUCUUUGAAGUAUGUUUUUUGGGCUGGUUAUACAAACUAUCCCUUGCUUUCUGCCUAGACUAGGACUGUACCUGGCUGCUUUAAAGAUUCUGUUGCACUUUAUUGACUUUAUAGAGCCUGGAAGAUAACCAAGUAUGGUCUUUAGGGCCCAACGUACCUCGUUUCCUGCCAGCGACAUACUCGGGAUCCUUGACAUACACUCUGCUGAGGUCAGAGCUGUACGUCAGAGGCUUGGGUUA
ensembl:lncRNA